UACGUAGGGACCGAGCGUUGUCCGGAAUCAUUGGGCGUAAAGAGCGUGUAGGCGGCCACUUAAGUCCUGCGUGAAAUCUUGCGGCUCAACCGCAAGCGGUCGUGGGAAACUGGGUGGCUAGAGUGCGGGAGAGGAGAGUGGAAUUCCUGGUGUAGCGGUGGAAUGCGCAGAUAUCGGGAAGAACACCCGUGGCGAAGGCGGCUCUCUGGGACGGUACUGACGCUGAGACGCGAAAGCGUGGGGGAGCGAACAGG
rnacentral:rRNA from 1 species